rnacentral:rRNA from 1 species
GCCUAACACAUGCAAGUCGAACGGAACUUCUUUAAUUGAUUUUUUCGGAAUGAUUUUGAUUAAGUUUAGUGGCGGACGGGUGAGUAACGCGUGAGUAACCUGCCUCUGAGAGGGGAAUAACAUUCUGAAAAGAAUGCUAAUACCGCAUAACAUAUAUUUAUCGCAUGGUAGAUAUAUCAAAGAUUUAUCGCUCAGAGAUGGACUCGCGUCCGAUUAGUUAGUUGGUGAGGUAACGGCUCACCAAGACCACGAUCGGUAGCCGGACUGAGAGGUUGAACGGCCACAUUGGGACUGAGACACGGCCCAGACUCCUACGGGAGGCAGCAGUGGGGGAUAUUGCGCAAUGGGGGAAACCCUGACGCAGCAACGCCGCGUGAAGGAUGAAGGUCUUCGGAUUGUAAACUUCUUUUAUUAAGGACGAAUAAAGUGACGGUACUUAAUGAAUAAGCUCCGGCUAACUACGUGCCAGCCGCCGCAGUAA